CUACUGGGGUAUCUAAUCCUGUUUGCUCCCCACGCUUUCGUGCCUGAGCGUCAGUAAUGGUCCAGUUGGGCGCCUUCGCCACCGGUAUUCCUCCUAAUAUCUACGAAUUUCACCUCUACACUAGGAAUUCUCCCAACCUCUACCAUACUCUAGUAAUGUAGUUUCAAAAGCAGUUCCAGGGUUGAGCCCUGGGCUUUCACUUCUGACUUACAUAACCGCCUACGCACGCUUUACGCCCAGUGAUUCCGAACAACGCUCGCUCCCCCCGUAUUACCGCGGCUGCUGGCAC
rnacentral:rRNA from 1 species